rnacentral:snRNA from 1 species
AUGCCCGUCGGGGAUCAUCCGAUAAACUUGGGUUGAUACAGAGCCGAUUAGCAUGGCCCCUGCGCAAGGAUGACACGCACAAAUCGAGAAGUGCACCGACAAAAA